UCUUGUUGAUAAAUCCAGCUGGCUGUUUCAUAUAUACUGUUUCGAUAAUCAAUGCCCUCUUCUUGCUUGAAUCCUUGAGCAACUAGUCUGGCUUUGAACUUAUCUAGUGAACCAUCUGCAUUGAGCUUGACUCUGAAGACCCAUUUGGACCCUAAGACAUGCAUAUCGGGUGUUGGAGGAGUCAGAGAGAAGGUUUAGGAUAUGAUACCUUGUGAGUGAGAAGUGCAUAUCG